UACGUAGGGACCGAGCGUUGUCCGGAAUCAUUGGGCGUAAAGAGCGUGUAGGCGGCUAUUUAAGUCCUGCGUGAAAUCCUGGAGCUCAACUCCAGAACUGCCUUCGAUACUGAGAGUCUCGAGUCCGGGAGAGGUGAGUGGAACUGCGAGUGUAGAGGUGAAAUUCGUAGAUAUUCGCAAGAACACCAGUGGCGAAGGCGGCUCACUGGCCCGGUACUGACGCUGAGGUGCGAAAGCGUGGGGAGCAAACAGG
rnacentral:rRNA from 1 species